ACGAGGGUCAACAACCAACACACUCAGAACCAUUGUACCCACACAGCCAUUCUGUUUUUCACUUUCAGUACAGUAUUCAGUAAUCAUAUGAGAUCUUCAGCACUUUAUAUAAAAUAGGCUUUCUGUUAGAUGAUUUUGCCCAGCUGUAGGCUAAUGUAAGUGUUCUGGGCAUGUUUAAGAUCGGCUAGACUGAGCUGUGACAUUCGGUAGAUUGACUGUGGAUUAAGUUUCAUCAGCAGCGACAAAAAAGGUAGCACUUUUCAAAUUUGAAUAUGCUUUUGAAGCACCUGAAGGACUCGAUAAAGCAAAAUUGCUGAGAACUAUCUCCAGGGUUUCUAAUUCAGACCCUGCCUGUUCUGAAGAGAAUGAAAAACCAUCAGAGGAGUGAUCUGAAGUGAAACUAUUCCAGGAAGACAGAGGAAAAUUCCCCCCCAUUUUCAGAACAUUUGCAGUUUGCAACCUAUUUUCAAUGCCUUCAGCCGUCUAAGAUACCAGAGAC